UACGUAGGGUGCAAGCGUUGUCCGGAAUUAUUGGGCGUAAAGAGCUCGUAGGCGGUCUGUCGCGUCGGCUGUGAAAACUCGGGGCUCAACCCCGAGCCUGCAGUCGAUACGGGCAGACUAGAGUGCUGUAGGGGAGACUGGAAUUCCUGGUGUAGCGGUGGAAAUGCGGCAGAUAUCAGGAGGAACACCGGAGUCGGAAGGCGGAUCUCUGGGCCGAAGCUG
rnacentral:rRNA from 1 species